rnacentral:lncRNA from 1 species
GACAUCCAUAAAAAUUCUUCAGAGGGUGUUUUACUACUGAGCUGCAAAGGGAAAAACUUAAAAUGGAUAUGAAAAGUGAAGAAAGUGAUCAUAGGAGAAAACCAUUUCAGGUGUCUGAUGAUUUGUGAGCCUCAAGUGACUACUCUGUGGAAUCACCUGUCCUUGCCUUUGAAUUAGCUUUCCGUAGGCCAUGAGUCAACAUUAGUAGUUUAUACAUCCAAAUUGAUGACAAGAGCACCUCAAAGGCAGCAGCCUCAAGAAGCAGCCAUGGCCCCAGAGUUGUCCCACGGAUGCAGAAAACUUAAUGGAGGAGGCUGAGGUCAGAAUGGGAAGAGUUUUUAAAAAGUAAAAAGGGGAGCUAAUAUGUGAGGAACUGAUUGCUGUGCAUUAUUUUCCGCUGAACAGACCACAGACCUUCUUUUAACUUCUAAUCUCAAGCACAUAGCAGCUGUUGUUUUCAUAUUAAAGAUCAGUAAGUGUUUGUUGAAUGAAUGUAUAAAUUCUUCCCCAAUCUCUGUUCCAUGUAAUAAGAACUAAGUUAGCAUUCAAUUAUAAAGAGGACUUAGAAAGUCUGCAGGCAUUUUUGAUCAAAAAUCCUUUUAACUGCCUUCUCAUGGUUCCCGGUAACACCUAAGCCCAAAAAACUCAGGUCAUUUCUUGCCUGUACUGUUGCAAUAGCCUCAUAAUAACUAGUCUUCUCCUUUAUCAACCACAGUCGUCUCCACUACACAAAGAAGAGAGGGUGCUAAUCUAAAGUGUAAAUUAUUUUAAAUCAGCACCCUCCUCGUAAUUUCCCAGUGGUUUUUCCUGUCAUAAGAAUAACAUGCAAAAUUCCUUGCUUGCAAAGCCAGGUAUGACCUUGCCCCGUCUACCUUACUGGCAUCGUCUCUCAUGACUCUUCCCCUUUUUCACUCUCCAUCUUGCCUUUUCCCAACCAUGCCUGCUAGUGAGCCUUAGCCCUUGUGUUCUCUCUGCCAGGGAUGCAUGACUGGCUUCUUUACUUUAUUCUGAUCUCUCUGCUCAAAUGUCAUCUUUUUAGAGAUACCUUUCCUAAACAUCUUUAAAAGUACCCCAUUAACUGUGAAACACCUUUCCUGCUUUAAGUUUUCUUCAUAGUACUUAUCACUUCCUGAUAUUAUGUUAGACAACAAGCAAAUAAGUAUAUGCAUAUAUGCUGUUCCCAGUAAAAUAUAAGCUCCGUUUGAACAGGAGCCUUGAUUAUUCCUGAGUAUACCCAUAGUGCCCAGAACCUAGUAGGGCUUUAAUAAAUAUUGGGGCUUUAAUAAAUAUUAGAUUCAUUUGUUGAAUGAAAAAAUAAAUGAAUACCUUGAAUAAAGAUAUCCAGGUAGAGUGUCUGGGCAGCCCAACCUAUGUGAAGCCAGUACAAGAAUGUUUCUGUGACAUAAUGAAUGCAAUUAUUCCUCUAAAUGAUGAACUUGCAUGAGUACACGAGGAUAAAAUUAAGCACGUAGUUUAGAUUUCUGCAAGUCUCUUUCUCAGAUUGAGGAAAAACAAAGAAAUUGAGCUUAUUCUCACCUCAUUCUUACAUGAACUAAAUCCAGAAUAAAGCACCAUUUAUAUACCAAGCACAUCCCUACCUCAGCCACUCAUGGAAUACUUUAUCUGUAAAGGGACAGAUAGUAAAUAUUUUUGGCUUUGGGGACAGUACAGUCUGUGUCGCCACUACUCAGCACUUCUGUUGAGGUGUGGAAUCAGCCCUAGACAACACAUAAACAAAUGGGUGUGGCUGUGUUCCAAUAAAAUGUUAUUUAUAAAACUAGGAAAUCAGCAUAUUUAGCUCACAGGCUGUAGUUUGCUGACCCUUGAAUUAGAGAGUCUUCCCCAAAUCCUCUUCCCAAGUUAUUGAAAGUAUGCCCAUAGGACCAUGGCUCCCUCACCUGGUUCUUUCGAGAAAUGAGACAAAUUCAGGGAUGGUUGGAGGGUGGAACACCUACAUGUGACAUGACUAUUGAGCCCAAUUUCUUUCCUUUUAUCUCUUUAAAGUGAGUCAGGUCUUAACAUUAAACUGUCUCUAAAGUAGCAAUAACUGGGCCUUGUCAGAUACUCCCAAUGACAAAAUUUCUUCUUGGAGAAUGAAUGAGGGUUGCAUACAGCAAUGUGUUGGUAAGCGUUUAGCAACUGGCUCUCUUACUGAUUUCUGUAGUGUAAAUUCUCCCAUCCUGGCCAUCUGAAACUACCAAUAUGAUGUCACUUAAUGUAGAGUUGGGAAAAGACAGUCUCUUGAAUCAGUAUGAGCUGGUUCCAGGCCACUGCUGAACACAUAUUUAAAAGCUACAAUAGCUCUGCUCACUGCCAUUGCAGAGUCUGGAGGAAAGAGUAGUGGGCUUGAUAGGAGCAAUUGGCUGGAUAAUCUUUUGCAAUGCCAACAAAUAAUGAAAAAGCAUAUAAAUAUAAUGCUGUAUAGAAAGCUCUCAAGUUCAGUGUUUGGUUAAAAUACAUACUCAGUAAAUGGUAGCUAUUAUCAUCUUAGUUUAAGUUAUUGCAAGCAUUAAAAUUAAAUGUUUAGCUACAGACUCAAUCCAAUUUUAAUGUCAUUGUGUUAAUAAGGCCUCUUAACAUUGAAGCAAGAAAGAUAAAGGAAUUUUUUUGUAGCUAUUCACGAUUCUGCCCAGCUCAAGGUAAAGAUAGCAACAAAAUACUCCAACCAGAAUAAAAGAAGUCUCCACUUGACUGCAGCUCUUCACAACACUUCACAAGGGUCAAGCUGUGUUAGUGUCCUUCAGUGUUAAACAGAAUUCGUCUUAAGAGAAUAGUUCAAUCAUUGAUUGAAUAGUAGGUUCAAGUUGACUAUAAUCCCAACUAAUACACUCUAAGACCAGGGAUGGGCCAACAGAAGGGUAAAGUUUUCCACUCAAGUCUCGAGGCAAACACUCAGAUAGAAGUAGUAAUAUGGAUGCCUUCUAUUAUUUGGUCACAUACAAUACUGCUCCAGGCCAGUUGUGCAAAACUGGUGAAAUAAAAGGCAAAAAUAUUGACAACAGUUUGGGUAACUGGAUUCCAAAAUGGGCAUCCAUCUAACAG